rnacentral:rRNA from 1 species
CCUACGGGGGGCUGCAGUGGGGAAUAUUGGACAUUGGGGGCAACCCUGAUCCAGCCAUGCCGCGUGUGUGAAGAAGGCCCUCGGGUUGUAAAGCACUUUCAGUGAGGAAGAACGCCUGGUGGUUAAUACCCAUCAGGAAAGACAUCACUCACAGAAGAAGCACCGGCUAACUCCGUGCCAGCAGCCGCGGUAAUACGGAGGGUGCGAGCGUUAAUCGGAAUUACUGGGCGUAAAGCGCGCGUAGGUGGCUUGAUAAGCCGGUUGUGAAAGCCCCGGGCUCAACCUGGGAACGGCAUCCGGAACUGUCAAGCUAGAGUGCAGGAGAGGAAGGUAGAAUUCCCGGUGUAGCGGUGAAAUGCGUAGAGAUCGGGAGGAAUACCAGUGGCGAAGGCGGCCUUCUGGACUGACACUGACACUGAGGUGCGAAAGCGUGGGUAGCAAACAGGAUUAGAUACCCUGGUAGUC